AAAUUAAAAGAAGGUCGCGGUUCAAUGGGCGGAGGUAACUUAUGACUUUUUUAAAGUAGUCCAAUUGCCUUGUCAUUUUAUUAGUGACGCGUUUGAAUGGAUUAACGAGAUGCGUACUGUCCAUAUCUACUU
rnacentral:ncRNA from 1 species